UACGAAGGGGGCUAGCGUUGCUCGGAAUCACUGGGCGUAAAGGGCGCGUAGGCGGUCUUUUAAGUCGGGGGUGAAAGCCUGUGGCUCAACCACAGAAUUGCCUUCGAUACUGGGAGACUUGAGUUCGGUAGAGGUUGGUGGAACUGCGAGUGUAGAGGUGAAAUUCGUAGAUAUUCGCAAGAACACCGGUGGCGAAGGCGGCCAACUGGACCGACACUGACGCUGAGGCGCGAAAGCGUGGGGAGCAAACAGG
rnacentral:rRNA from 1 species